rnacentral:rRNA from 1 species
UAUAUUGGACUAUGGUCGAAAGCCUGAUCCAUCUUUGCCGCGUGUGUGAAGCAGGUCUUCGGAUUUUUAUGCACUGUAAGUGGGGAGGACGGGGUGGACGCUAAUACCUUAGAUCUUUGACGUUACCAUCAGAGUAAGCACCGGCUAACUCUGUGCUAUCAGCUGCGGUAAUACGAAGGGUGCAAGCGUUAAUCGGAAUUACUGGGCGUAAAGCGCGCGUAGGUGGUUCGAUAAGUUGGAAGUGAAAGCCCCGGGCUUAACCUGGAAGUUGCUUUCAAAACUGACGAGAUAGAGUACGGUAGAGAGUAGUGGAAUUUCCUGUGUAGCGAUGAAAUGCGUAGAUAUAGGAAAGAACAUCAGUGGCGAAGGAGACUACCUGGACUGAUACUGACACUGAGGUGCGAAAGCGUGGGGAGCAAACAG